AGAGUUUGAUCCUGGCUCAGGAUAAACGCUGGCGGCGCACAUAAGACAUGCAAGUCGAACGAACUUAACUCAUUCUUUUAGUUUGAGAGCGGUUAGUGGCGGACUGGUGAGUAACACGUAAGCAACCUGCCUAUUAGAGGGGAAUAACAGUGAGAAAUCAUUGCUAAUACCGCAUAUGCUAACAGUAUCGCAUGAUACAGUUAGGAAAGGAGUAAUCCGCUAAUAGAUGGGCUUGCGCCUGAUUAGCUAGUUGAUGGGGCAAUGGCCUACCAAGGCGACGAUCAGUAGCCGGACUGAGAGGUUGAACGGCCACAUUGGGACUGAGAUACGGCCCAGACUCCUACGGGAGGCAGCAGUCGGGAAUAUUGCGCAAUGGAGGAAACUCUGACGCAGUGACGCCGCGUAUAGGAAGAAGGUUUUCGGAUUGUAAACUAUUGUCGUUAGGGAAGAUACAAGACAGUACCUAAGGAGGAAGCCCCGGCUAACUAUGUGCCAGCAGCCGCGGUAAUACAUAGGGGGCAAGUGUUAUCCGGAAUUAUUGGGUGUAAAGGGUGCGUAGACGGAGGAGCAAGUUGGUUGUGAAAUCCCUCGGCUUAACUGAGGAACUGCAACCAAAACUACUUCCCUUGAGUGUCGGAGAGGAAAGUGGAAUUCCUAGUGUAGCGGUGAAAUGCGUAGAUAUUAGGAGGAACACCAGUGGCGAAGGCGACUUUCUGGACGAUAACUGACGUUGAGGCACGAAAGUGUGGGGAGCAAACAGGAUUAGAUACCCUGGUAGUCCACACCGUAAACGAUGGAUA
rnacentral:rRNA from 1 species